rnacentral:lncRNA from 1 species
UUCUCUAAUUUUUGUGCUAUUUUCACAUUUCCUGACCGGUGUGAGAAAAAUAUUUCUCCUCACUAGUGAAAAAUCUGUUCUCGGCAAAUGAUUAGUCGAAAUUUGAUUAUGACGUCAAAAUGUUUUGUUUUCUUCUCAAUUUUCCUAUUGUGACGUCAUGAAAAAAGGCGACCUUGUCUGAUGACGUCGCAUAUAAAGAGCACAAUUUUCUGAAAAUCUUUGAAAAAGAACGAUAAAAAGCAUUAGAGAAACAGAUUCCGACACUAUAACUCGUGUAUUACGAUACUUCUCCACUCUCGACAGUUAAAUUUUAUUAUUUAAAGGGCUCGGCAAGCCUCGCGCUUUAAAUAAUAAAAUUUAACUGUCUCGAGUGGAGAAAUAUCGUAAUACACUUGUUGCAGUGUAAGAAUCUAUAUUUCUUACAUGGCUUAUUUUAUCUUUUUUGUCAGUGUUUUGAUUGAAUUAGGGAGCUACCAUUUGAUUUUUAUGGGGGGGCUAGGAUGAAAAAUUUUGUCCUGCAUUUUUUUUUAGUUGUAAUCUCUGUCCUGCCUUUUUAUUUUUCACUCUAUUCGGUCCUGCCUUUUUUUUUUUAUUAGUUUAUCCUGACUUUUUUACCUAAAUUGUCAUCCUGCCUUUUUUUUUUGCAAAGUGUCUCAUCCUGCCUUUUUUUUUUUACUCAAAACUCCUGUCCUGCCUAUUUUUUUCAAAUUUCAUCCUAGCCCCCCCAUAAAAAUCAAAUGGUAGCUCCCUUACUG